CACGUAGGGGCGAGCGUUGUCCGGAAUUACUGGGCGUAAAGGGCGCUCAGGCGGGAGAUUAAGUCGGCGGUGAAAUUUUGCAGCUCAACUGUAAAAGUGCCUUCGAAACUGGUUUCCUUGAGUGUAGAUGAAGUAGGCGGAAUUUGUGGUGUAGCGGUGAAAUGCAUAGAUAUCACGAGGAACUCCGAUUGCGCAGGCAGCUUACUAAACUACUACUGACGCUCAGGCACGAAGGCGUGGGGAUCAAACAGGAUUAGAUACCCGCGUA
rnacentral:rRNA from 1 species